rnacentral:rRNA from 1 species
GGUUAGUGGCGGACGGGUGAGUAACACGUGGGAACGUGCCUUUAGGUUCGGAAUAAGCUCGGGAAACUGGGUCUAAUACCGAAUGUGCCCUUCGGGGGAAAGAUUUAUCGCCUUUAGAGCGGCCCGCGUCUGAUUAGCUAGUUGGUAGUGUAAUGGACUACCAAGGCGACGAUCAGUAGCUGGUCUGAGAGGAUGACCAGCCACAUUGGGACUGAGACACGGCCCAAACUCCUACGGGAGGCAGCAGUGGGGAAUCUUGCGCAAUGGGCGAAAGCCUGACGCAGCCAUGCCGCGUGUAUGAUGAAGGUCUUAGGAUUGUAAAAUACUUUCACCGGUGAAGAUAAUGACUGUAGCCGGAGAAGAAGCCCCGGCUAACUUCGUGCCAGCAGCCGCGGUAAUACGAAGGGGGCUAGCGUUGCUCGGAAUUACUGGGCGUAAAGGGAGCGUAGGCGGACAUUUAAGUCAGGGGUGAAAUCCCAGAGCUCAACUCUGGAACUGCCUUUGAUA